CACGUAGGGUGCGAGCGUUGUCCGGAAUUAUUGGGCGUAAAGAGCUCGUAGGCGGUGUGUCGCGUCGGCCGUGAAAACCUGCAGCUUAACUGUGAGCUUGCGGUCGAUACGGGCAUCACUGGAGUUCGGCAGGGGAGACUGGAAUUCCUGGUGUAGCGGUGAAAUGCGCAGAUAUCAGGAGGAACACCGGUGGCGAAGGCGGGGUCUCUGGGCCGUAACUGACGCUGGAGGAGCGAAAGCGUGGGGAGCGAACAGG
rnacentral:rRNA from 1 species